AUUGAACGCUAGCGGGAUGCUUUACACAUGCAAGUCGAACGGAGUGGCGGACGGGUGAGUAAUAUAUCGGAACGUGACCAGUAGCGGGUGAUAACUACUCGAAAGAGUGGCUAAUACCUCAUACUAUUGGAGCGGCCGAUCUCGGAUUAGCUAGUUGGUGGGGUAAAGGCGCACCAAGGCAACGAUCCGUAGCUGGUUUGAGAGGACGACCGGCCAAACUGUGACUGAGACACGGCCCAGACUCCUACGGGAGGCAGCAGGGGGGAAUUUUGGAGAAUGGGGGAAAACCUGAUCCAGCCAUCCCGCGUGUAUGAUGAAGGCCUUCGGGGUGUAAAGUACUUUUGGCAGAGAAGCGGUAUCUGCAGAAUAAGCACCGGCUAACUACGUGCCAGCAGCCGCGGUAAUUC
rnacentral:rRNA from 1 species